rnacentral:rRNA from 1 species
AUUGAACGCUGGCGGCAUGCUUUACACAUGCAAGUCGAACGGCAGCACGGACUUCGGUCUGGUGGCGAGUGGCGAACGGGUGAGUAAUACAUCGGAACGUGCCCAGUUGUGGGGGAUAACUACUCGAAAGAGUAGCUAAUACCGCAUGAGAACUGAGGUUGAAAGCAGGGGAUCGUAAGACCUUGCGCAACUGGAGCGGCCGAUGGCAGAUUAGGUAGUUGGUGGGAUAAAAGCUUACCAAGCCGACGAUCUGUAGCUGGUCUGAGAGGACGACCAGCCACACUGGGACUGAGACACGGCCCAGACUCCUACGGGAGGCAGCAGUGGGGAAUUUUGGACAAUGGGCGAAAGCCUGAUCCAGCAAUACCGCGUGCAGGAUGAAGGCCUUCGGGUUGUAAACUGCUUUUGUACGGAACGAAAAGCUUCGGGUUAAUACCCUGGAGUCAUGACGGUACCGUAAGAAUAAGCACCGGCUAACUACGUGCCAGCAGCCGCAGUAA